GUCCAUGAGUUCUAAGGGCUUGUACCCCCAGCAGAGGCACUUUGUGGCUGUGUAUGUGAAACCAUAAUCUUUUUUUAAGAACCUAUGAGUGGGUGUGCUUUUCCCCAAAUACUCUCCAAGUUACUUAACAAGAUUUCUUUGUAUUGCAUUUAAAAAGAAAUGGUGGGGCGCCCGGGUGGCUCAGUCAGUUAAGCGUCCAACUUCGGUUCAGACCAUGAUCUCACAGUUCAUGAGUUCAAGCCCCGCAUCAAGCUCUGUGCUGACAGCUUGGAGCCUGGAGCCUGCUUCAGAUGGUGUGUCCCCCUCUCUCUCUCUCUGCCCCUUCCCCACUCGCGCUCUGUCUCUCUUUCUCUCUCUCUCUGUCUCUCAAAAAUAAACAUUAAAAAAAAAUUUUAAGAAAUGGUGCAGAGGCACCUGGAUGGCUCAGUCAGUUGAGCGUUGGACUCUUGAUUUCGGCUCGUGUCGGAUCCCAGGGUUGUGAGACGUUGGGUGCCUCACUAACAGAUUGGAGCCUUCUUGAAGUUCUCUCUCUCUCCCUCCCUCCCUCCCUCCCCCCCUCCUUCCCUCUGUCCCUCCCCCAAUUGCAUGGAUGUCCCCUCUCUCUCAAAAAAUAGUACAAUCAGACUUUAAACAUGCCAUUCUUUUUCAGCUGUAAUAUUCUUAAAAUUAUUCUGGAAUUUACUCUUAGUUCAUUUUUGCUAAUUUUGUCUUCUCUUCUAGUUGUCUGUCCCCAGUGAGCGUCCGCUGCAAGGCACAGAGCUGCGUGGUGGUGCUGGAAAAGACACGCCGGAAGCUCUCACAUGUUUUAUCUUUCCGACUUCAUGUUCAUUUCUUCUGAUUCUUUUUCUUGGAUAAUAUUCUCUCAUAAGUGUAAUUUUUUCUCACUUACAGAGAAAUUAGAAUUAUAAUUUCUGCAAUUAUAGACUUUUUUAAUGUUCGUUUUUGAGAGAGAGAGAGCACACGAGCGGGGCUCUAACUCAUGAACCUUGAGGUCAUGACCUGAGCCGAAGUCAGAGGCUUAAAUGACUGAGCCACCCACACACCCCAAUUACAGAUUUUUAAAGCCUAUUUUUUCUGCUGCACUCUCUUCAGUCCAGUUUCCUUUCCUCUGUGUGCUUCAGUCUCUCCACUCCAUGUGGAAAACUUUCCUCAAAUGUCUGAUGAGCCUUCUUUCCCUGCUUGAAUGUGGGAGACACCGCAGUGGGUAGGCUCGGGCUCAAACAAGCGUGUCCCCAACCUCCAAGCAAAAGUGGUUAAAACAAGACAGAGGGUGGUUGCUCCCUUUAGUGGGGGGCCGAGGGCUGGUGUCAGGGUUCCCUAAUCUUCAGGGACCCCAUCUUUUCCCCUUUGCUGUUCCACCGCCCUCACGGGCCACGACGGCCUCCCAGGCUGCAGCUCUCGUGCCCGCGAGCCCGCCGGAAAGGAAGAAGGGUCAGGAAGGUGAGACCUUGGAGCUGGUAUCCAUGGGCCAGAACUUGGCACACGCAGCUGCAAGGAAGGCUGGAAGGCAGAGUUUUUGUGGGAGACACGUUUCCAGGGCAUCUUGGCGCAGGUGCACAUGGCGUCCGUUCUAGGGCUGCGUGUGCGGCAGUGUGGACGGUAUCAAACCACGGAAGCAGCUUGCCAUCCACAGGGCGCUGCCACGUAGCUCCCGCGUGCAUCUCAAAGGCAUAUCAUCAAGGAGAGAAGGCAAGAGGAGAGAGCAUUUAGUAUGCUACGACUGUAAACGGGCCUGCACACCCUUAUCUGCUGACACGCUAACGGCCUGUGGAGGGAAACACGCAUUGCUGACCACGGUGGCUGGCUGGGCCGUAGGACAAGGUUCACCAUACUUAUAAUGUUGUAUAUGUGAGUCAGGUUUUGCCUCUGCAAGCAAAAAAAAAAAAAAAAAAAAAAAAAAAAAAAUCAAAUAAUGAAAUAA